GUACACGCUGUGACUAGCAUAUCAAUAAGCGGAGGAAAAGAAACUAACAAGGAUUCCCCUAGUAACGGCGAGUGAAGCGGGAAGAGCUCAAAUUUGAAAUCUUAAAGGGUUUCCCUUUACGAAUUGUAGUUUAAAGAAGUGUUUUCUGUUGAGGUUUUGGUAAAAGUUCUUUGGAAUAGGACAUCAUAGAGGGUGAGAAUCCCGUAUUUGACCUUUACUUUCAACUUUGUGAUACACUUUCAAAGAGUCGGAUUGUUUGGGAAUGCAGUCCAAAAUGGGUGGUAAAUUUCAUCUAAAGCUAAAUAUUGGCGAGAGACCGAUAGCGAACAAGUACCGUGAGGGAAGGAUGAAAAGAACUUUGAAAAGAGAGUUAAACAGUACGUGAAAUUGUCAAAAGGGAAGCGUUUGACACCAGUGUUGUUUUUCUGAAAAUCAAUUAAAGAACUGUUUAUGCUAAGUUGUUUAGACUUUAUCAGCUAACUGUUUAGUUUUGAGCUUUUCUUUAAUGCACUUUUCAGUUAACAAGUCAACAUCAAUUUCUUUUGCUGUAAAAAAGCUUGAGGAAGGUGGCUAGAGAUUCGUCUUAAGUGUUUAUAGCCUCUUGCCUAUGCAGUCGGAGAGAUUGAGGUCUGCAGCGUAGAUCCUUCGGGGCUAAAUGCAUUUGUGCUAAGUUAUAGCAUUUUAUAGACAACUUGUUGACUAUGAUUUGUCUUGUAGCUUACUCGCUUAUGUUAUUUUACCUACGCUUAGGAUGUUGACGCGCAGUGUCUCUCUCU
rnacentral:rRNA from 1 species